rnacentral:rRNA from 1 species
GACGUAGGGGGCCAGCGUUGUUCGGAAUUACUGGGUGUAAAGGGUUCGUAGGCGGUGUGGCAAGUCGGGAGUGAAAUCUCUGGGCUCAACCCAGAGUCUGCUUCCGAAACUGCUGUGCUUGAGUGUGGGAGAGGCGCGUGGAAUUGCAGGUGUAGCGGUGAAAUGCGUAGAUAUCUGCAGGAACACCCGUGGCGAAAGCGGCGCGCUGGACCACUACUGACACUGAGACGCGAAAGCGUGGGGAGCGAACAGG